UAACGAAUAUUGGGCAAUGGGCGAAAGCCUGACCCAGCAAUGCCGCGUGCAGGACGAAGUCCUUCGGGAUGUAAACUGCUGUCAGGGGUCCGCAAGCGAAGGGGUCCAACAGGCCCUGGAGUUGAGCAGCCCCAGAGGAAGCCUCGACUAACUCUGUGCCAGCAGCCGCGGUAAUACGGGGAUGGCGAGCGUUACUCGGAUUUACUGGGUGUAAAGGACAGGCAGGCGGCUUUGCAAGUUGAAGGUUAAAUCCUCUGACUCAAUCAGAGACAUGCCUUCAAAACUACAUUGCUUGAGGAUUUGAGAGGAGAGCGGAAUUCCCGGUGUAAGGGUGAAAUCUGUAGAUAUCGGGAGGAACACCUGUGGCGAAAGCGGCUCUCUGGCAAAUCCCUGACGCUGAACUGUGAAAGCUAGGGGAGCAAACA
rnacentral:rRNA from 1 species